rnacentral:rRNA from 1 species
GAUGAACGCUGGCGGCGUGCCUAACACAUGCAAGUCGAGCGGAGAGAGUUGAGUACUUGUACAACGCUCUCUUAGCGGCGGACGGGUGAGUAACACGUGAGUAAUCUGCCUUUGACUGGGGAAUAACACAGUGAAAAUUGUGCUAAUACCGCAUAAUGUCAUCUUCCGGCAUCUGGAGAUGACCAGAGACUUCAAGUCGGUCAAAGAUGAACUCGCGUCCGAUUAGGUAGUUGGUGAGGUAACGGCCCACCAAGACGACGAUCGGUAGCCGAACUGAGAGGUUGAUCGGCCACAUUGGGACUGAGACACGGCCCAGACUCCUAUGGGAGGCAGCAGUGGGGAAUAUUGGGCAAUGGGCGAAAGCCUGACCCAGCAACGCCGCGUGAAGGACGAAGGCCUUCGGGUUGUAAACUUCUUUGAUCAGGGACGAAUAAAUGACGGUACCUGAAGAACAAGCCACGGCUAACUACGUGCCAGCAGCCGCAGUAAAAC